UAGGAUCUUCAUUAAACAAAUAAUUCAGAACUUCUUAAGUGCAUAUCAUGUAAGACUGUUAGCACAAAACUGUCACGUUUAAUCAUGCUAUUAUGGUUAGUCAAAGUUUAAGCUGUAAACUUUCAUCUAGAUGGCUAUUACUUUCGGAGCACGUCCAUCUAUCAACUGCACAACCCUACUGAUACCGCUCCUCAGUUUUUGGGGGUUCUUAAUUUAUAUCGUAAACGGAGAAUUUUAUAUAAUCAUCUGUGUGUCAUGGCGAAGCAAGCAAGACAAGGCAACGGAUCCAAAUGCAAUGGUUUAUUUCUUAAAAACCCAAAAGUCCACAAAGCAGAACCAGAAUGACGACCAGAAUACAGGACCAAAAAGUGAUGACCGCAAACUAUACUCAAGAAAGGACAACUGAAACACAAGGACUGUAUUCAUGUGGGUAAACAAGAUAUCAAGACACACCUGGGAAACAAUCUAGAACAAGGACCAACGAACUACAGACAUGGAUGACAUUAAAGAACUUCAAAUAAAGAGUACAAGACAGGGGAAACGCAAGACACAACAGUGACACCGUGCAAUCUUUAGCAUCAGUCAGAUCGUUUGUAACCUCUAAUCUUCUCCCUACUUUUAUAAUGACAAUAUAAAAGCAUGCAUACAUAAAUUGUCUCUCUUCAUCAGGAGCCGCGCUCCUAAUUUCACCGUAUGCAGGAAAACACUAUGACAUUCAAUUCAAUAAUGGCAAGCAAUAAUCAAGGUAUGUUUAAGCAAACUACUGGUGGUGGUGGUGUAUUUAACCAUGCUAAAUCAUGGCCCUUGCCAUUUAUAUCAUUCCUCACUCUGGCAUAACGUUGCUUUCUGUGGCCUUCGCGGCCUCUCUGCUAUCAAGCCUAACGUGGCAUCCUUCUACGGAUAUCCUCUACUGCUGAUAUUAUGAUUGACAUUUACGGACACGUUAAUGGAACCUCAAAGAAACACUGGUGGGUACCGAUCAUUGCGAUCAAUUUUUGGGGAUUAGAUUCUGGCCCGUCUUCAUCUUCAGACAGGAACCGCAAGAAUCCGUGACCCCCGGAUUUGAACUAUGGUCGGGGCCUACGCCAAAGAACUAUACUGUGUUACAUUCUAACCUUGGUUGCUAACUACUGUUAAAUAAACUCAUAUGUCAAGUCUUAACCUAUCUUCGAGUCUUUCUGGUAGAAAUGGUAGCUUUAGCGUAGCGUAGCGUAAGUUCUACCAGGAAACUCGAAUGUUACGUCAUUCAUGUCACAAGGCGCAAUCAAUCACCCCUGAUACUGAGAGUAUAUAAGCCUCGUACUCACCUGUCUUUGCGUUCGCAGAUACUGAUGCCAGCAUUAACAACCCACCCUCCCUACCACCAUCACCAGGUCGGUUCCGUCCAUACUCAAGGGGGAUUAGAUUCUGGCCCGUCUUCAUCUUCAGACAGGAACCGCAAGAAUCCGUGACCCCCGGAUUUGAACUAUGGUCGGGGCCUACGCCAAAGAACUAUACUGUGUUACAUUCUAACCUUGGUUGCUAACUACUGUUAAAUAAACUCAUAUGUCAAGUCUUAACCUA